AACGUAGGUACCGAGCGUUAUCCGGAUUUACUGGGCGUAAAGCGUGUUCAGGCGGCCGCGCAAGUCGGGCCUGAAAUCUCUCGGCUCAACCGGGAGGGGUUGUCCGAUACUGCGUGGCUGGAGGGCAGUAGAGGGUGGUGGAAUUCCGGGUGUAGUGGUGAAAUGCGUAGAGAUCCGGAGGAACACCAGUGGCGAAAGCGGCCACCUGGACUGUACCUGACGCUCAAACACGAAAGCUAGGGGAGCGAACGGG
rnacentral:rRNA from 1 species